ACGCACGCUGGCGGCGUGCUUCACACAUGCAAGUCGAACGGAAAGGCCCCUUUGGGGGUACUCGAGUGGCGACCGGGUGAGUAACACGUGAGUAACCUGCCCUUGACUUCGGGAUAACUUCAGGAAACUGGGGCUAAUACCGGAUAGGAAUCCUUGCUGCAUGGUGGGGGUUGGAAAGCUUCGGCGGUUUUGGAUGGACUCGCGGCUUAUCAGCUUGUUGGUGGGGUAGUGGCUUACCAAGGCUUUGACGGGUAGCCGGCCUGAGAGGGCGACCGGCCACAUUGGGACUGAGAGACGGCCCAGACGCCUACGGGAGGCAGCAGUGGGGAAUAUUGCACAAGGGGCGGAAGCCUGAUGCAGCAACGCCGCGUGCGGGAUGACGGCCUUCGGGUUGUAAACCGCUUUCAGCAGGGGCGAAGCUUGUGGUGACGGUACCUGCAGAAGAAGCACCGGCUAACUACGUG
rnacentral:rRNA from 1 species